GUGCAAUUCAAAAUACAGCUGCACAGCCUCACUUCACAGGCACCCUUUCCCUGGCUCAGAUGGAACUAGUCCUGUCGAUGGGAACCCUUCAAGCUCCUCAAAACUUUACCCAGAGAUGAAAUACAGUAAACUGUAAAGAAUCACAGUAACAAUACUGGAAAAGAGGACUGGAAUCACAAACCUCUUAGAAGCCAAGCCAUAAAUAAACAUUGCCAAACUGCAGUGCUCUCGGCACCAUAACAGUGGCAGCAUCUUCUUCGGCUAACAAUUGACGGACAACUAGACACCACGCGUGCGGUGCCACGCUCAGGGUGCCAGCUGCCAGCAGCACGCCCUUGGGAAGCAGCACUGUACUCCGGCAACAGCCAGACAGCUGCACCUUUCAGGUGCCACCUCCACGUUGCUGAAAGGAAAGCAAGGUGACAGGCAGCGCGGGAUGCACACAGGGAGGUGACGCGCUCCUUCUCUGCAACACUUACUGGGGACAGAGGUUGGAAACACCGGGCAACACGGGAACCCACGUAGGUUAGAGGAGCAGAGCUGCAUGCCGGUAAGGAAGAUAAGAGCCCACGAGCUACACCUCUGACACAGCCUUCCCUCCCCACCCACAUCCAGAACACUUCAGAAAAGGUUUCUGCAUGCGGUUGCUGUGCCCCUGCCCUCACCCCGCGGGGAACGGGGCUGACCCACGGGCACUCCA